rnacentral:rRNA from 1 species
GAUGAACGCUGGCGGCGUGCCUAAUACAUGCAAGUCGAGCGAACAGACGAGGAGCUUGCUCCUCUGACGUUAGCGGCGGACGGGUGAGUAACACGUGUAUAACCUACCUAUAAGACUGGGAUAACUUCGGGAAACCGGAGCUAAUACCGGAUAAUAUAUUGAACCGCAUGGUUCAAUAGUGAAAGACGGUUUUGCUGUCACUUAUAGAUGGAUCGGCGCCGCAUUAGCUAGUUGGUAAGGUAACGGCUUACCAAGGCUACGAUGCGUAGCCGACCUGAGAGGGUGAUCGGCCACACUGGAACUGAGACACGGUCCCGACUCCUACGGGAGGCCGCAGUAGGGAAUCUUCCGCAAUGGGCGAAAGCUUGACGGAGCAACGCCGCGUGAGUGAUGAAGGUCUUCGGAUCGUAAAACUCUGUUAUUAGGGAAGAACAAAUGUGUAAGUAACUAUGCACGUAUUGACGGUACCUAAUCAGAAAGCCACGGCUAACUACGUG